rnacentral:snRNA from 1 species
UUGUUAACACAUAUACUAAAAUUGGAGUAAUACAGAGAAGAUUAGCAUGGCCCCUUCACAAGGAUGACAUGCAAAUUUGUGAAGUAUUCCAUAUUUUU